AGUGAACGCUGGCGGCGUGCCUAACACAUGCAAGUCGAACGAUGAUAGGAAGCUUGCUUCCUUGAUUAGUGGCGCACGGGUGAGUAUACCAUAGAUAAUGUACCUCUUAGUUUGGGAUAGCCACUGGAAACGGUGAUUAAUACCAGAUACUCCUUCUCAUUAUAAGAUGAGUCGGGAAAGUUUUUUCGCUAAGAGAUCAGUCUAUGUCCUAUCAGCUAGUUGGUGAGGUAAUGGCUCACCAAGGCUAUGACGGGUAGCCGGCCUGAGAGGGUGACCGGCCACACUGGGACUGAGACACGGCCCAGACUCCUACGGGAGGCAG
rnacentral:rRNA from 1 species